rnacentral:rRNA from 1 species
CGCGUAGGCGGUUUGUACAGUCAGAUGUGAAAUUCCUGGGCUUAACCUGGGGGCUGCAUUUGAUACGUAUGGACUUGAGUGAGGAAGAGGGUCGUGGAAUUCCCAGUGUAGAGGUGAAAUUCGUAGAUAUUGGGAAGAACACCGGUGGCGAAGGCGGCGACCUGGUCCUUGACUGACGCUGAGGCGCGAAAGCGUGGGGAGCAAACAGGAUUAGAUACCCUGGUAGUCCACGCUGUAAACGAUGUGUGCUGGAUGUUGGGUGACCUAGUCACUCAGUGUCGUAGCUAACGCGCUAAGCACACCGCCUGGGGAGUACGGCCGCAAGGUUGAAA